GAACUAAGGGAAUAUCAAGGGUUUGUUAAGGCGCCCGGUAUUUCACGAAAAUAAAGAAUUAGCUAAGCAUGGAGAAAGCUUGUAAAUGCCUUGUCUGGACGUGGGUUCAAAUCCCACCAGCUCCACUU
rnacentral:tmRNA from 1 species